rnacentral:rRNA from 1 species
AGCAGCAGCCGCGGUAAUACGGAGGGGGCUAGCGUUGCUCGGAAUGACUGGGCGUAAAGGGCGCGUAGGCGGUAGGUACAGUUGGAUGUGAAAUUCCUGGGCUUAACCUGGGGGCUGCAUUCAAUACGUGCUUGCUUGAGUGUGGAAGAGGGUUGUGGAAUUCCCAGUGUGGAGGUGAAAUUCGUAGAUAUUGGGAAGAACACCGGUGGCGAAGGCGGCGACCUGGUCCUUGACUGACGCUGAGGCGCGAAAGCGUGGGGAGCAAACAGGAUUAGAUACCCCCGUAGUCCCUGUCUCUUAUAC